UCCCUGGUGGUCCAGUGGCUAAGACUCCAUGUUUCCAAUACAGGGGAACCAGGUUCGAUUCCUGGUCAGGGAA
rnacentral:tRNA from 1 species